CCUACGGCGGUGCUGCAGUGGGGAAUAUUGGACAAUGGGCGAAAGCCUGAUCCAGCCAUGCCGCGUGUGUGAAGAAGGCCUUCGGGUUGUAAAGCACUUUCAGUGGGGAAGAAAGCCUUGGGGCUAAUACCCUCGAGGAAGGACAUCACCCACAGAAGAAGCACCGGCUAACUCCGUGCCAGCAGCCGCGGUAAUACGGAGGGUGCGAGCGUUAAUCGGAAUUACUGGGCGUAAAGCGCGCGUAGGCGGUCUGAUAAGCCGGUUGUGAAAGCCCCGGGCUCAACCUGGGAACGGCAUCCGGAACUGUCAGGCUAGAGUGCAGGAGAGGAAGGUAGAAUUCCCGGUGUAGCGGUGAAAUGCGUAGAGAUCGGGAGGAAUACCAGUGGCGAAGGCGGCCUUCUGGACUGACACUGACGCUGAGGUGCGAAAGCGUGGGUAGCAAACAGGAUUAGAUACCCGUGUAGUC
rnacentral:rRNA from 1 species